UACGUAGGGUACAAGCAUUAAUCGGAAUUAUUGGGCGUAAAGGGCGCGUAGGCGGGAGCGUAAGUCAGAUGUGAAAUACCAAAGCUCAACUUUGGUGCUGCAUUUGAAACUGUGUUUCUUGAGGACUGACGGAGAAAGCGGAAUUCCAUGAGUAGCGGUGAAAUGCGUAGAUACAUGGAGGAACACCGGUGGCGAAAGCGGCUUUCUAGUUUUUACCUGACGCUGAGGCGCGAGAGCAAGGGGAGCAAACAGG
rnacentral:rRNA from 1 species